UCCAAGGCAAGGCAGCAGGCGCGCAAUUACCCAAUCCCAACACGGGGCAGGUAGUGACAAUAAAUAACAAUCCAGGGCCCUUUGGGUCUUGGAAUUGGGAUGAGUACAAUUUAAAUCCCUUAACGAUUAACAAUUGGAGGGCAAGUCUGGUGCCAGCAGCCGCGGUAAUUCCAGCUCCAAUAGCGUAUAUUCACCGUUGUUGCAGUUAACAAAGCUCGUAGUUGAAUUUUAACUCUGGCUGGGCGGUCCACCAAUUGGUGGCACUGCUCUGGCUGGGGUUCACCUUCUGGCGAGCCGGGCAUGCCUUUAUUGGGUGUGCUGGGGAGCCAGGACUUUUACUUUGACA
rnacentral:rRNA from 1 species